rnacentral:rRNA from 1 species
UACGUAGGAGGCGAGCGUUGUCCGGAGUUACUGGGCGUAAAGGGUGCGCAGGCGGCGGUGCGCGUGGCGAGAUGAAAUCUCCUGGCUUACCUGGGAGGGUGGUCGCCAGACGGCAUCGCUUGAGGGUCGGAGAGGGGCGUGGAAUUCCGGGUGGAGCGGUGAAAUGCGUAGAGAUCAGGAGGAACACCUGUGGCGAAAGCGGCGCACUGGACCACAACUGACGCUGAGGCGCGAAAGCUAGGGGAGCAAACAGG